GGAUUAGUACUGUGCUUGGCCCUGAGACUUGGUUAGUCCCUGUUUAAUACAUGAUGUAUGUUAUGCUAGAUGUUGAGUUAUGUUUGAACUAAUCUUGUGGCAUGUGUUGUUUACCACGUUAUGUAAUGGAUGAGGACCCUAGAGGAGGUCUGAUGUUUGUGGUUUGAGGCAUGCACAGGUUAGGUUCUAGUUCUUGGAUGUAAUACCAGUUUGAUGUAUGUUAUGUUGACCCAGCUAGAGUUGUGAUGAGGGCUCUAGUAGGGGGUUCCUUUAUGUUUUCAGUUAUGUCGCAUACAGGUCAGGCUCGGUAUUUACAUCAUAUGUUUCAGUUUUUAUGUUAAAGUUUUGUUCAU
rnacentral:lncRNA from 1 species